rnacentral:rRNA from 1 species
UUACCUAGCGGCGGACGGGUGAGUAAUGCUUAGGAAUCUGCCUAUUAGUGGGGGACAACAUUCCGAAAGGAAUGCUAAUACCGCAUACGUCCUACGGGAGAAAGCAGGGGAUCUUCGGACCUUGCGCUAAUAGAUGAGCCUAAGUCGGAUUAGCUAGUUGGUGGGGUAAAGGCCUACCAAGGCGACGAUCUGUUGCGGGUCUGAGAGGAUGAUCCGCCACACUGGGACUGAGACACGGCCCAGACUCCUACGGGAGGCAGCAGUGGGGAAUAUUGGACAAUGGGCGGAAGCCUGAUCCAGCCAUGCCGCGUGUGUGAAGAAGGCCUUUUGGUUGUAAAGCACUUUAAGCGAGGAGGAGGCUUACCAAGCUCAUAUCUUGGAUAAGUGGACGUUACUCGCAGAAUAAGCACCGGCUAACUCUGUGCCAGCAGCCGCGGUAAUACAGAGGGUGCGAGCGUUAAUCGGAUUUACUGGGCUUAAAGCGUGCGUAGGCGGCUUAUUAAGUCGGAUGUGAAAUCCCCGAGCUUAACUUGGGAAUUGCAUUCGAUACUGGUGAGCUAGAGUAUGGGAGAGGAUGGGUAGAAUUCCAGGUGUAGCGGUGAAAUGCGUAGA